AGAUUGAACUGAAGAGUUUGAUCAUGGCUCAGAUUGAACGCUGGCGGCAGGCUUAACACAUGCAAGUCGAGCGGUAACAGAGAUAGCUUGCUAUCUGCUGACGAGCGGCGGACGGGUGAGUAACGCGUAGAAAACUGCCCAGUAGUGGGGGAUAGCCCAGAGAAAUUUGGAUUAAUACCGCAUACGC
rnacentral:rRNA from 1 species